CCUACGGGUGGCAGCAGUAGGGAAUCUUCCACAAUGGGCGAAAGCCUGAUGCAGCAACGCCGCGUGGGUGAAGAAGGUCUUCGGAUCGUAAAACACCGUUGUUAAAGAAGAAAGUGCGUGAUAGUAACUGUUCACGUUUCUACGUUAUAUAACCAGAAAGCCACGGCUAACUACGUGCCAGCAGCCGCGGUAAUACGUAGGUGGUAAGCGUUAUCCGGAUUUAUUGGGUGGAAAGGGCACGCAGGCGGUCUGUUAGGUCUGAUGUGAAAGCCCUCGGCUUAACCGGGGUAGUGCAUGGGAGAAUGGGAGACUUGAGUGCAGAAGGGGAGACUGGAAGUCCAUGUGUAGCGGUGAAAGGCGUAGAUAUAUGGAAGAACACCAGUGGCGAAAGCGGCUCUCUGGGCUGUUACUGACGCUGAGGUUCGAAAGCGUGGGUAGCAAACAGGAUUAGAUACCCCUGUAGUC
rnacentral:rRNA from 1 species